rnacentral:rRNA from 1 species
ACAGCAGUAGCCGCGGUAAUACGUAGGUCCCGAGCGUUGUCCGGAUUUAUUGGGCGUGAAGCGAGCGCAGGCGGUUAGAUAAGUCUGAAGUUAAAGGCUGUGGCUUAACCAUAGUAUGCUUUGGAAACUGUUUAACUUGAGUGCAGAAGGGGAGAGUGGAAUUCCAUGUGUAGCGGUGAAAUGCGUAGAUAUAUGGAGGAACACCGGUGGCGAAAGCGGCUCUCUGGUCUGUAACUGACGCUGAGGCUCGAAAGCGUGGGGAGCAAACAGGAUUAGAUACCCGAGUAGUCCCUGUCUCUUAUACA